rnacentral:rRNA from 1 species
CCUACGGGAGGCAGCAGUCGAGAAUCUUCGGCAAUGAGCGCAAGCUUGACCGAGCGACGCCGCGUGCGGGAUGAAGGCCUUCGGGUUGUAAACCGCUUUGGUCCGAAAGAAAGGGUAAAACUUGAUCGAUCGGAGAAACAAGGACGGGCUAAGUUCGUGCCAGCAGCCGCGGUAAGACGAACCGUCCAAACGUUAUUCGGAAUCACUGGGCUUAAAGGGCGCGUAGGCGGCCGAGCGGGUCGUGGGUGAAAUCCCCCAGCUUAACUGGGGAACUGCUUACGAUACCACUGCGGCUCGAGGAAGGAAGGGGCAAUGGGAACUGUCGGUGGAGCGGUGAAAUGCGUUGAUAUCGACAGGAACGCCUGUGGCGAAAGCGCAUUGCUGGUCCUUUUCUGACGCUGAGGCGCGAAAGCCAGGGGAGCAAACGGGAUUAGAUACCCCGGUAGUCCUGGCCUUAAACGAUGAGAACUAGGUAGUGGGUCCGACCUGGGCACACUGCCGAAGCGAAAGUCUUAAGUUCUCCGCCUGGGGAGUAUGGUCGCAAGGCUGAAACUCAAAUGAAUUGACGG